rnacentral:rRNA from 1 species
GCCGAUCAGGCUGUGGGUGAGGUAAUGGCCCACCAAACCUGUAACCGGUACGGGCUCUGAGAGGAGGAGCCCGGAGAUGGGCACUGAGACAAGGGCCCAGGCCCUAUGGGGCGCAGCAGGCGCGAAACCUCUGCAAUAGGCGAAAGCUUGACAGGGUUACUCUGAGUGAUUUCCGUUAAGGAGAUCUUUUGGCACCUCUAAAAAUGGUGCAGAAUAAGGGGUGGGCAAGUCUGGUGUCAGCCGCCGCGGUAAUACCAGCACCCCGAGUGGUCGGGACGUUUAUUGGGCCUAAAGCAUCCGUAGCCGGUUCUACAAGUCUUCCGUUAAAUCCACCUGCUCAACAGAUGGGCUGCGGAAGAUACUAUGGAGCUAGGAGGCGGGAGAGGCAAGCGGUACUCGAUGGGUAGGGGUAAAAUCCGUUGAUCCAUUGAAGACCACCAGUGGCGAAGGCGGCUUGCCAGAACGCGCUCGACGGUGAGGGAUGAAAGCUGGGGGAGCAAACCGGAUUAGAUACCCGGGUAGUCCCAGCUGUAAACGAUGCAGACUCGGUGAUGAGUUGGCUUUAUGCCAACUCAGUGCCGCAGGGAAGUCGUUAAGUUUGCCGCCUGGGGAGUACGGUCGCAAGACUGAAACUUAA